GAUGAACGCUGGCGGCGUGCCUAACACAUGCAAGUCGAACGAAGCACCUUACCUGAUUCUUCGGAUGAAAGUUUGGUGACUGAGUGGCGGACGGGUGAGUAACGCGUGGGUAACCUGCCCUGUACAGGGGGAUAACAGCUGGAAACGGCUGCUAAUACCGCAUAAGCGCACGAGGAGACAUCUCCUUGUGUGAAAAACUCCGGUGGUACAGGAUGGGCCCGCGUCUGAUUAGCUGGUUGGCAGGGUAACGGCCUACCAAGGCAACGAUCAGUAGCCGGUCUGAGAGGAUGAACCGACACACUUGAACUGAGACACGGUCCAAACUCCUACGGGAGGGAGCAGUGGGGAAUAUUGCAAAAUGGGGGAAACCCUGAUGCAGCAACGCCGCGUGAGUGAAGAAGUAUGUCGGUAUGUAAAGCUCUAUCAGCAGGGAAGAUAAUGACGGUACCUGACGAAGAAGCGCCGGCUAAAUACGUG
rnacentral:rRNA from 1 species